rnacentral:rRNA from 1 species
UGGGGAAUUUUGGACAAUGGGCGAAAGCCUGAUCCAGCCAUGCCGCGUGAGUGAAGAAGGCCUUCGGGUUGUAAAGCUCUUUUAGUCGGAAAGAAAGAGUUGCAAUGAAUAAUUGUGAUUUAUGACGGUACCGACAGAAAAAGCACCGGCUAACUACGUGCCAGCAGCCGCGGUAAUACGUAGGGGGCGAGCGUUAAUCGGAAUUACUGGGCGUAAAGGGUGCGCAGGCGGUCUUGCAAGUCAGAUGUGAAAGCCCCGGGCUUAACCUGGGAAUUGCGUUUGAAACUACAAGACUAGAGUGCAGCAGAGGGGAGUGGAAUUCCAUGUGUAGCAGUGAAAUGCGUAGAAAUGUGGAAGAACACCGAUGGCGAAGGCAGCUCCCUGGGUUGACACUGACGCUCAUGCACGAAAGCGUGGGGAGCAAACA